rnacentral:tRNA from 1 species
CAACUUGACCAGUGUGGGGCUGUAACUCAGUGGUAGAGUGCUCGCUUCGCAUGCGAGAAGUCGCGAGUUCAAUCCUCGCUGGCUCCAA